GAAAAGCAGUCAAACUACGCAGUUUAAACCACACUUUGGUUAUACCGAUAGACUAAGCACUAUGGCAAAUUGAGAACGUGAUAUAUAUCUUUUGUCCAAGAGAAAUAAGCAAAAUCGAUAAGGAAUUCGAUUUGAACAAAGUAAAAUUGUUCACUUCGAUUGGUUUUAAUCGGAUUGACUAGUUUAAUAUUGAGUUUGAUAAUAAAGGAAAAUGUUUAGAUAGGAGGCUGAAGUUUUAUCGACGAUGGA
rnacentral:lncRNA from 1 species